rnacentral:rRNA from 1 species
UACGGAGGAUGCGAGCGUUAUCCGGAUUUAUUGGGUUUAAAGGGUGCGCAGGCGGCGUGUCAAGCAAGCGGUAAAAUAGCGGGGCUCAACCCCGUCGAGCCGUUUGAACUGGCGCGCUUGAGUUCAGGCGAGGUAGGCGGAAUUCGUGGUGUAGCGGUGAAAUGCAUAGAUAUCACGAAGAACUCCGAUUGCGAAGGCAGCUUACCAGUCUGCGACUGACGCUCAGGCACGAAAGUGUGGGUAUCGAACAG